rnacentral:rRNA from 1 species
CAAGUCGAGCGAACGGACGAGAAGCUUGCUUCUCUGAUGUUAGCGGCGGACGGGUGAGUAACACGUGGAUAACCUACCUAUAAGACUGGGAUAACUUCGGGAAACCGGAGCUAAUACCGGAUAAUAUUUUGAACCGCAUGGUUCAAAAGUGAAAGACGGUCUUGCUGUCACUUAUAGAUGGAUCCGCGCUGCAUUAGCUAGUUGGUAAGGUAACGGCUUACCAAGGCAACGAUGCAUAGCCGACCUGAGAGGGUGAUCGGCCACACUGGAACUGAGACACGGUCCAGACUCCUACGGGAGGCAGCAGUAGGGAAUCUUCCGCAAUGGGCGAAAGCCUGACGGAGCAACGCCGCGUGAGUGAUGAAGGUCUUCGGAUCGUAAAACUCUGUUAUUAGGGAAGAACAUAUGUGUAAGUAACUGUGCACAUCUUGACGGUACCUAAUCAGAAAGCCACGGCUAACUACGUGCCAGCAGCCGCGGUAAUACGUAGGUGGCAAGCGUUAUCCGGAAUUAUUGGGCGUAAAGCGCGCGUAGGCGGUUUUUUAAGUCUGAUGUGAAAGCCCACGGCUCAACCGUGGAGGGUCAUUGGAAACUGGAAAACUUGAGUGCAGAAGAGGAAGGUGGAAUUCCAUGUGUAGCGGUGAAAUGCGCAGAGAUAUGGAGGAACACCAGUGGCGAAGGCGACUUUCU